CACCUUGAAACAGAUGGCAGUUAAAACCCCUUGCAUGAAGUUCUACCAUGUUGAAAUUGACUUGGUUACAGGUCAUUCUUCACCCCCUCCGCCCAACCUCUCAGUUUUUACAAGAGCUGGUUUAACAGCCCCUUUAAAUCCCCAGCUACGGGGCAGAGUCCCGCCUUCAGCCAAACCCAUGGGAUGACACCCCCUCCCGCGGCGCACAGAGGCUGCUGCGCUCCUCCUCCAGGGCCGACACCAGCACACUGCCGGGUUUAGGGCGCAGGGCCCGAUUCGGGGGAAUCGGGCGAAUUGGCCUAAAGCCGGCCCUGCCUGUUGCUUCUCCUCUGCUGAGACAGGAGCGCCCAGAGGGGAGGGUCAGAUGUCACAUGUUCCCCAGUGACUUGCUGGCGUCUCAGAAGGAGAGACCUAGUUAACUGGAGAUUCCUCCCAGGUUGUCUCGGGUGCCUUGGGAGCUAACAGUGAGAUUUAUUGGCAGAAGAGCAGCUGGGGAGGCAGGGGGCGGAGCGGGGACCUUUAUUCUCGGCACAGCCGUGUGCCUACUGUUCUGCCUCUGCCACGGCCACAGCAGCCUCAGGCCGGGCUGCCUCUCUCCUGUGCUCCCCGCCCCGCCUGGCCUUCUGCCAGCAAGGCCUGCUUAUCCCAGGUGUGAAGCCAGUGGCAGAAGCGCUUGUAUGUGGAUCCUUCGCUGGGCUCCAGAGCUAGUACCACGUCCAUCGCUGCAUCAGCCAUGCAGAAUGGGAGGCGGAGGCCGUAUAACGCGCUGGCUGGUAGGGGAGAAGCAGUCAGGACUGUUGGCUUCUGUUGAAGCCUUGAGACAGUCCAGCUGUCCCGGAGGAGCAGGUGGUGUAGGGCUCGACCAUCAGCUUGGAACUGCUCUGGAGUCUCCGGUCUGAGUCCUAGCAGGUUUGGCUCAGCCCUUCCUUCCACCACUGGUCGUGUGGCCCACUGGCUGUGGGCUGUGCCCAUGAGCCCUGGGGCAAACCAGGGCCAUCCCACAACUGCGUGGAGGCUGGGCCCAUUGCAUGAAAACUGCCCCAACCGCCCUGUGCUGCCUUAGGUGGCUGUUUCGUCCUCGCUUCACACGUAGCGUUGGUCUCUCCUGCUGUGGCAUCAGCAGGCUCAGUGGAUCCCAGCCAAGCUCCUGGCCUGCACCUAACAUACGGUCUUGUUAGGCAGCAGCAGGGGAAGGUUAGGAGAGCCAGAUUAGGGCAUAGCUGGCAUGGGACUGUCCCCCGCUCCUGCAACACGACUGUGGGUGGUCGCCAGCGUGGAGGUAACUAGCUCAUCCCCAUCCUCAUUUGUCCACCCCUGGGCCUGGAGCCCCACCUCUGCGUGGCUGCACCCUCAGUCUCUGAAUUAGGCCAGGGAAAGCAGGUGCUGCAGCCUCAGGGGAGACGUGACUAGAGCAAAGGCGAGUGCUGGGUUAAUCUGACAUUGUCCUGCAGUUCAAACAAGCCUGGCCUGGCCCCACGUGCCCAUUGCUGCUCUGGAACUAAGAGGUCCAGGUUCCAGCAGUAACUCCAGAUGCUCUGCCAGCUGCCACCAGCUGCCUUUGCCUCCAGCUGCGUGGUAGGGGGCAGCUUGGAGACAGGUUUGAUAACGUUAGAGACCCUUUAAUAACAACAGGGGGGAGUUACAUCCAGUAUAUCCUGGGGAGGGCGGGGUGGUGGGUUCAAGUUGUGCUCACCCAGGGAGAGGCAGGAUAAGGGAUGCCCUGAAGGUGACAUGGUGGGAUGGUUUCUGCCAUAGCCUAGGCGGGUAUAGGGCGUUCCUCAGCUGGGAGCCUCGGCUCUGAGCAGUUCAGGCUUCUCUGGCUCAGGUACUGGGGGGACAGGACCAGGUCCGUCCAGGCCUACCUGUUUUUGCAGGUGUCUACAGCACCUGGCCCUAGGGUCAUGGUCCAUCACGGGGGCUCUAGGUGCUGCUCUGCACAGCUAACCAAUAUCUCAGAGAUUCUGCGCCUGUCAUGGUGUUGUCAUGCAACCUCACAACUUGUAAUGCAUUGACCCUCCAUGCCUUUGUGAGGCCAGACCGGGCUGUUAUCCCCAUGGUACAAGUGGGGAGAGGGAGGCACAGAAACUAGGUGAUUUGUCCGUCAUCCAAGAAGUCUAUGGCAGAGCUAGGAACUUGAACCUAAGGUUCUCAGCAUCUUGUACCCUCCCAAAGUUGGGCCAGCUCUGGGCCGCAGGAGAGAGGAGCUGGCGGGGGGAGGGCACUUUCCUGGCUCCAUGCUCCAAGUACAACCCGGUUUCCUUUUCGCUUCCCCUUCUGCCGUCCCCAGAAGCUGGCUGGGCUCAGCCUCUUUGAAAAGCAUCUGCACACACCUUUCAAACACACAACCCCAGCAGUGCCUUUGCUGGGCAUGCUGAAGCGACAGCCACAGGGGGUGGCUGCCAGACUGGCUUCCCUGUAGCAUUAGUCCCGGAGAAUUCAGUGUCUGCUUCCCGUUCAGCUUUCGCUUUCCCUUCAGAGGGUUGACAGGAAAGGUAGCUAACAGCGUGCUGUGAGCUAGGGGAAGGUGUGGAACGUACCUGUCCAGAAAGAGCUAACCUGAGCCCAUCCCCUCUUAUCACACUAGGCAGCUGAAGGCUUUCGCAUGGUCACAGCUCAAAGACAGACCCUAGGGAGAGGAUCGAAUCCUAUCCAGGCAUGUUCUGCAGAGGCGGAGAACAGCAGCCAGGACAGAUCCAGUGAGAGCCAGAGCAAGAAGCGGGGGCGAGCAGCUGGCAGCCAGUGGUUUGGAGCCAAAAGGCCGGGUACGGGGGAUGGCUGUGGUCAAGGCAAGGUGCUUGUCGGCCUGGAUGCCCGUUGAUUGCCAUAACCUGGGGCCAAGCUUUUUCUACAACGGUUUCUGAGAGAGAAGCUUUAAAUCCCUCUUGUUCUGCCCUGUCUCGUCAUACAUGUGAGCUUCCUCUGAAUUUUUAUUUCUUACAUUUGUAUGCACCAGAGUUCUCUGUCGUUAUUCUUUCGUUGAUUGCAUCCGUGUGAAAUAUGCCCCCCGAGUGAGAAUUUUAAACAGGAAUAUUUACUAAGAACUUUUGUGAGCUGGAGGGAGAUGAUAAUUUGUUUCUUAGAGGGACAUUUUAUAUAAAUCAUAUAUAAGAACCCAUCUUGGUUUUUCCCAGAGCCUGUUAAAUGGGAUGUGGCCACCUCCCGCAGCGGGUUCAGCUCGGAGAGUAGUUUCAGUGUUGCUGUCAGCUCAGCAGGGGUUGUGUGGUAGACGAGUGAAGCCCACUCAUGUUUUUUAAAUGGCAAAGCCAACUGACCCACAGCUAAAGAAGUGGCUGCCAGGAGCAGUUGGAAUCUCUGGUUUAAGACUCAUUUCUGUGGGGCAUGUGGGAGGCGAGGGAGAGGAUGUGAUGGACUUUCAUUUUCCAAGAUGUUCUAUGAAAAACCCCAUCACCCCAUCAGCAUGUUCUCAUGGCUUUGCCUCACACGCUGAUGGCGCCUCACACCACCCUGGUGAGGUAGGUAUUGUCUUUGUUCUACUGAGGAGGAACAAAAACGUUUGCUCAAGGUCAGGAAUUCCGAUUCCCAGAUCUAACCACUAUAGCCCACUCCCUUCCCACGCUGGCGUUGUGAAAGAAUUUAAAAAAAUCAUGGUUGCUCCUUAACACAUGGCCACCACUUCCCUGCCCUUUCCAGAAGGGCUCUGGAGUUUUUCAUAAGCAGUGGGCAGGUGGGUCUCUCUUGUGGGCUGGAACACAGGGUAUUCUCCAGCAAGACACCAACACGGAGCCCAGUUUCUUCCCCUGCUCCUGAGCCACUUAUCAUCUGGGCAGAGUCCUCUACCUGGUCCCAAGUGGGAUCAGGGGACUUUUGGGCUGUGUGCCGGGGAACCAGAAUUGUCCCAGAUGCGCCGAGAAGAUCGGUGGAAGAUCCAAGAGCCAGGGCAAUUUCACACGUUGCAAGCUGAGCUCAGCGAUGCUAGCCAUUACAAGCUGCCAUCUGGAGUCAGUCGAGUAUCCUGUGCCCAGCCUCUGGCCACUCGGAUUGCACAGACAGAGCAAGGCAGAGGGAACCAUCUCCUCCGGCAGCAAGGAAAAAAACAUCAAGACGCAUACGCACAAAUCCUCACGCACAGCAACUACAAGAAGAGAAAGCACAGACAUAACAGCAUCUCCUGUUGAGCCCUUGGUGUGUCACAAAGGGAAACCCCAUACUAGUCUCUUACAUUUUCUUUAAACUUCCAUAGUGCAAAUGGUAUCUUAGCCCAAGUCUCUCAGUACAGAAUUUUUUUACAGUGAACAUUCGGCGUUCACGAGUCAGACGCUUUGCCUCACUCCUGCAGUUUGGGAAGGAUCCAGUCUCCCGUUGCCACCCUCUCUGGGCUUCCAGAGCAUCCCCAGAGCUCACGCAGCCUGUCGCCACCUGCGUGGCUUGAGGGUUGCCCAGCGAGCGGGAGCAGGGCGGCGGCACGACGCUGUCCAGCGGGGGUGGAUGGGUACAUCAAUAAACGUCCCGUGGAUUCUUGCAGGAAGCCUGGUGAUGGGGACCUGGAAAUCAGCGGAUGGAACAAAGUUACUGUAGGGUGCAGCUGCGGCUCCCCUGGCCAGUGCCUGAAAACCCAGGGCCGGGCCCUGCUGGAAAAAUCCAUCUUGCUAGGAGUACUUGGGCCUCUCAUUGACCUGCCGGCUCGGGCUCAGAGCGAGUGUGAGUCACAGUGCAGGGCUGGAGCGGAAAGCUCUGAACGCUUUGAUUUUUUUAUUAUUAUUAUUUAUUUUUAAAAUAUUUUUAUUUAUUUAUUUCUUUUUGAUGUUCAAGUGCUGUGUUUGGUCAUGUGAUUAAAACAACAACAACAACAACAACAGUGAAAAAAACAACCCAACCAAUAAAUGGCCUUUUGGUCAUGUGAUUAAAGUAAAAAAAACAAAAACCUCCCCACCCCAACCAAUGGCUUCUUUCCUGAGCCGCCAUCCUCGUAAACUCUUCAUCGUCAGAUGCCCAAUGAAAAAACAGACACGAGCUAAGACAUUACGCACAGUAACAUACACAAGUAAAUCAUAAAAUCCUCGUCGGCUGAUCUGUACACACACAUGUGAAAUGGCAUCUGCCUGCCCUCGGCCUGCCAGAUUCCCCUGGACAACGCACAGAACCGCCAUGAACUGAGUCGUUCCCCGUUGCUACCAGGAGGUCUGUUCAUCUCCAGUGUCACCUGGCUGUAGACAUUUCCCCAAAUUUCUCCAUGCCCCAACCAAUGGCAGGUGAGAGCUUCCGUGUUUGAGAGGGAGAGAAGGGGCCGGUCUGCCAGAUGUGUGUAUCGAGGAAGGGUUGUGUAUUUGCAGGGAGGUGGGCUGCAGGAUUGUGUAUCGAGGAAGGGUUGUGUAUUUGCAGGGAGGUGGGCUGCAGGAUUGUGUAUCGAGGAAGGGUUGUGUAUUUGCAGGGAGGUGGGCUGCAGGAUUGUGUAUCGAGGAAGGGUUGUGUAUUUGCAGGGAGGUGGGCUGCAGGAUUGUGUAUCGAGGAAGGGUUGUGUAUUUGCAGGGAGAUGGACUGUUUGCAUUUUUAACUUCCCUGAUUUAAACACCACCAGCUGGGGGGAGGGGAGUGUCUCCCAUUGACCAGGAGAACUUCAACCCGCCUGGUGAAAGCACUAGGAUAUUCUCUGUAAGGAAUGAAGGCAUUAGAAUAGAUGAGACCUAAGGGCUGUUUUUCAGAGCUCAGUCUCUCCUGGGACAAUCUAGGCAGCUUGUCAGUUACUGUAGCCACUAAUAAGUUCCUGGUAAUAUUCUCUCUCCUGGCCCACCUCCUGAGCCAGUAGCUACCAUAAAGGACUGAUCACAGCCGUAGUUAGAAGCUCGCUCAAAGGACUGAUCACAGCCGUAGUUAGAAGCUCGCUCGAGAGCUCCCUUCACUGCUGUGAGCAAGACAGAACUGAGCUAUUUCUGGGAAGGCCCUUUGCUCAAAGCCUUUCAAAACAGCCUGGGUGACGCAUUAAAAAUGCCCUGUGGGGACCAGUCCUGUCCCCAGGGAGCUAACUGGUCUUUUCCAUCUCUGAGCUCUGGGAUGACGUUUUCUUCCUCCGAGUCUGAAUGAGGCCAGCAACAGGAAACUGUACUUAGAAACAGCCUCCUCGUUCCCGCCACCUCCCUUCGGCUCCCCCGUGGGGAAGGGCCACACGUUGGCAAGUCGGUGGCCGGGCUCCAUUGCUCAGGUCACUUAAGAAUGUCUCCAUCUCAAACUGGAGGGGGUUCAAGUACGCAGUGAUCAUCCAAUCCCAGGCUGACCUGCCAGGGUUCUGGGCAGAGGUGCUGAGCAGAUCAGCUGAGCUGGCUUGGGAAGGCGUGUUCCCCAGGCACGCUGGCAGGACUGUGGUGAGAAGCAUUUUGCUGUCCCAGGGAGGGCCAGCCAAGCUCCAGGAGAGCGAGGGGCUUCUCAUGCCGUGGCAGCGUGGUCACCCUGUGUCCAGCGCUGAUUUGCUGUGCCCAGUGACAGUGCGGGGAGCCCCGAGGUGCUGCUGUGUUCAGAGCCCGGGGGAAGCGAGGGGGAUGGCAACUAGAAAAGGAACCGUCUCCGCAUGAGGCGAGCAAGCAGGAGCUGGGAUCGCUGCGAAGGAAUAAAACCAGGGACCUGCCAGGUUAGGGUGAGCGCCUAGGGUAGGGCCUUGUAGGGACAGCACAAAACCAGCAGUUCCUGGCUCGGUCACUGACUCCCUGUGCGACCUUCCCUAUCGCUGCUGCCUUUUCCCCACAGGCUGCGAGGCAGGGGUGAGCACCCUUUGGUACAGGGGAGACUGGCUGCAAAUGGGGAAGCAGCUCCCCUAAAAGACAGCAGCAGAGAGGGAAUCGGAUGCUGACUCCCAGUCACCCGAGACUGACCGCUAGACCCAUGUAGUCUAGGCCUUUCUAUUCUGAACGUACCUCUCCCCCGGGCUGUAAUAUCUCGUGGGUCCUUCACGUUGGGCACCCGUGUCAGGGGACGGGUACAAAGCUGCUCCGGUCCCUUUGUGCUCAAGCCAUGCGGUUCUGGAGCAGCACAGUGUAGCUCUGUGCUGGUAAGAGGAAGCGGCGCGUUCUUCGACCCCAAACUGGGGCUGCCUUCCUUGCCCGGGCCCGGAAGGAGGGUCCCCAGCAGCGGAUUGGACAGAGGACCAGGGGCUACGUCCUUGUCACUGCUUUGGCUGCCAGGCGGGGGGAAGCAGCAGGGAGCAUGAGAACGGGCCUGUCAGAUCCUGGUUUCAGUCGGCUGCUGCCACGGGGGCUCCGAAGGCUCCUGGCAGGUGUCAGUCCCUGCGCUGCCACUGUGAGAACCCACGCUGCACCCUGGGGCUCCCUGACUGCUCGCCGGCCCAGGGUCCGCCUCGUCGCCUGUCGCCCCCCUGACCCCUCCUGUCUCUUUGCCCCGGGGUCGGACGGGGGUGGGGGUGGCUGCAGCGACGCACGAGACAGGCUGUGAAUCCUCCUCGCUCCUCCCCAGCCGGGCUGUGUGGUCGUCCCAGUAGAGAAGGGGGGCAGGGAUGCCAAGGCAGAUGGUGCCACUUCAGCUCACAGCCACGUCGGAGGGACAAGUUCUAACAAGCUUCCGAUCCAGGGCUCUCUGCCACUCAGGACUUCAGCAUGAAAAGAGGAUCUCUGGGUUCCUGGCGUCCUAUUGCUUGAGGGACCCCUCCUCAAAACCAGGCCAUAGUCUGACCCUGCCAGGCCUCCCUGGGCCGGGGAUGGAAUAAGCGUGUUCCACCGAGAGCGCAAACUGCAGCCCCGAGCUGGCUGGUGCACUCCAGGAAAAUGCCACCUGUUCCAGCACGGAGGGGGGGGGGGCGGCACAGCCAGGGAGGAUGGAAUACAGUGGGUGCCUCAACAUGGCAAAGGCUUGGGGUUUCCUUCCCUUCUCAAGGAGCAGCUCAGCCUGACCCCUUGAGCUGCCCGUCAUUGGCCUCGGCUGGCAGCCUGCCUAGGGUCCAGGAGUAAGUGAAUCCAUGAACAGUGCUUUGAACAUGUAAAGCGCUACAGUCUAUAAGUGCUAAGGAGCAAGGCGGCAGGCCAGGGCCAAGGCUCCCCACCGGGAAGCCCUGAGAUCUGUGCCUGGCUCUGCCAUUGGCUCUUGACAGUGGCGUCCUCUCUCUCCGCCUCAGUUUCCCCUCUGUCGGGCGGGGCCCUCCCCUGGCUAAAGCGCUUUGAGAUCCAUGAGACAAGUGCUAAGUCCUGCGGGGCCGCCUGCUCCCUGGGCCAGUCGCUCCGACGGAGCAGAACUGAUCUCUCCAGCAGUGGCAGAAAGCAGGACCACAGGGAGCUAUGCCCAGAGCCUCUUUCAGCCUGGCCCACCCCUAAGUGCUUUGUAGGGUGUAUGCCUAGAAGCAGGCAGGCUCCAGCCAAGGGGGAAAGGCGGAGCCACCUUUGCGCUCGGAGCUGCACACAGUGUCUUGGUAGAAGUG